UACGUAGGGUGCGAGCGUUAAUCGGAAUUACUGGGCGUAAAGCGUGCGCAGGCGGUUCGACAAGUCCGAUGUGAAAGCCCCGGGCUCAACCUGGGAAUGGCAUUGGAAACUGGCGAGCUUGAGUGUGGCAGAGGGGGGUGGAAUUCCGCGUGUAGCAGUGAAAUGCGUAGAGAUGCGGAGGAACACCGAUGGCGAAGGCAGCCCCCUGGGCCAGCACUGACGCUCAUGCACGAAAGCGUGGGGAGCAAACAGG
rnacentral:rRNA from 1 species